rnacentral:lncRNA from 1 species
CACCCAUGCCCCCUCCCAUGCCCAGCAGUCUGGCUGGGGUGCUCUGUCCUUGGCCUCUCCACCCCCACCGUCAUCCCCAUGCAAACCUCAAAGAGGCUGACUUGGCGUAGCAUUUGCCUGCACUUACCUGUGGCUCUUCUGUUUGGAGCCAGCCAGAAACUCCUGAGUUUGGUUCCAAGGUGCUCUACCCCUCCUGCCUGCGGGAGGACUAGGUUCCUCAAUCCUUCUCCUGAGGUCAGGGCCAACAGGAAUCCCGGAGACAGCAGGGUGUUCAAGUAGCAGGUAGAGAGUGAGAGAGAGAGGGGACCUGUGGGACCAAGGCCUUUAUGGGGUCCAGGGCGUCACCCAGGCAGGUUUCCUGAGGGGAGUAAUAAUUGGGUUUAGGCCAGGUGCCGGUGGCUCACGCCUGUACUUUGGGAGGCCGAGGCGGGUGGAUCACGAGGUCAAGAGAUUGAGACCAUCCUGGAAAACAUUGUGAAACCCCGUCUCUACUAAAAAUACAAAAAUUAGCUGGGCGUGGUGGUGCGCACCUGUAGUCCCAGCUACUCAGGAGGCUGAGGCAGGAGAAUGGCUUGAACCCGGGAGGCGGAGCUUGCAGUGAGCCAGGAUUGCGCCACUGCACUCCAGCCUGGGUGACAGAGCGAGACUCCAUCUCAAAAAUAAAUAAAUAAAAUAAAAUAAAAUAAAAUAAAAUAAAAUAAAAUAAUUGGUGAGUUUAGAGCAAGCAGGGUCACGCUAUGGCUGAGAGAGGGUCACUGGCCUAUCUGCAACAGUCCAUGCGGGCUGUGGGGUCAGCGGGACCAGUCAAGUGGGCUGUAUGUAGCUGUCCCACAGGGAGGCAGUCACCGGGAGAUGACUGUCUAAGGUAGAUAUCUGGAUUGAGCACAUAGAGGAACUGGGAGGAAG